UCGAACCCAAGAUUUUCCCUCAGCAAGAUCCCACUCCCUGUCUGGCAGCAUGUCAGGACACGCCCCCGCCGAUUGCAUCACGCCCUCUCUUCGCCGCAGCUGCAGGCGGUUAGUCAUCAGCACACCUGGCAGUAAUCAGGAGGACAGCAUAAGAACCAGUCACUCCUUGGGACCUACGCCGGAACGUCGUUAACUCUUGUAUUGCCUCUCUCAAUCCUCGAUCACUCGUUUUGGACUUGGACAUUGUUGCUUGCCGCCUGCCUUCGACCACCUGCCUGUCCCCGGAUCUCCCUUGUGCCUACCCUCUUGGUCAGACAAACUUUUCAUCCAUCACGCAUGUACAACAUCCUCUUGAAUUAUUUACAUGGUUAAUUCUACACUUAAUCCUGCAACCAACACUUAGAGUAGCAUACACAUCCCACACAAUCAUCAAAGGUUACAAUAAACCUGGUAACCUUAA